rnacentral:rRNA from 1 species
GAUGAACGCUGGCGGCGUGCCUAAUACAUGCAAGUCGAGCGAACAGACGAGGAGCUUGCUCCUCUGACGUUAGCGGCGGACGGGUGAGUAACACGUUGAUAACCUACCUAUAAGACUGUGAUAACUUCGGGAAACCGGAGCUAAUACCGGAUAAUAUAUUGAACCGCAUGGUUCAAUAGUGAAAGACGGUUUUGCUGUCACUUAUAGAUGUAUCCGCGCCGCAUUAGCUAGUUGGUAAGGUAACGGCUUACCAAGGCAACGAUGCGUAGCCGACCUGAGAGGGUGAUAGGCCACACGGGAACGGAGACACGGUCCAGACUCCUAAGGGAGGCAGCAGUAGGGAAUCUUCCGCAAUGGGCGAAAGCCUGACGGAGCAACGCCGCGUGAGUGAUGAAGGUCUUCGGAUCGUAAAACUCUGUUAUUAGGGAAGAACAAAUGUGUAAGUAACUAUGCACGUCUUGACGGUACCUAAUCAGAAAGCCACGGCUAACUACGUG